UACGUAGGGUGCGAGCGUUAAUCGGAAUUACUGGGCGUAAAGCGUGCGUAGACGGUUAUUUAAGUCGGGUGUGAAAGCCCCGGGCUCAACCUGGGAACGGCGCUUGAGACUGGCACGCUCGAGUUCGGGAGAGGAUGGUGGAAUUCCCAGUGUAGAGGUGAAAUUCGUAGAUAUUGGGAAGAACGCCGAUGGCGAAGGCAGCCAUCUGGACCGGCACUGACGCUGAGGCGCGAAAGCGUGGGGAGCAAACAGG
rnacentral:rRNA from 1 species